rnacentral:lncRNA from 1 species
AGCAACUGGCGCAGGCGCGCUGCUCGGUCAUAUCAGUCGGGAUUCGAGCCCCGGUGACCAAUCGACCCGGUUUGUUCGGAACUGACAGGGUUGUCAAGACGCUGGGCUUUCCCUGGCAAACCAAGACGACCUGAUCACGUAGUUAGAACCCAGAGAAAGCAUUACUGGGCGUGAGCCGGUCGGGGCUCCGGUAUUUGCCCUUCGCCCAGGUUGCUGUAGAAAUGGACCUCUACCCGCCCAGAUGUUACCAUUCAUCGCGAAGGGUGUCGUGAAGAUGAAUGCCCUGUCGAACAUCAUCCAGCAGGAGGUCAAGGAAUUUUAACUGAAUGAUUGAAUAGUCUUGCAAGAUCUAUGAAACAAGCUUCG